AAAAUUGUUUACCCAUUCAUCGGCCAAGACAAGACGUAGUUCGAAAGCGUUCGGGUUAAGAAACU
rnacentral:sRNA from 1 species